rnacentral:rRNA from 1 species
GAAUAUUGCACAAUGGGCGCAAGCCUGAUGCAGCGACGCCGCGUGGGGGAUGACGGCCUUCGGGGUGUCAACUCCUUUCGACAGGGACGAAGAGUAUGUGACGGUACCUGUAGAAGAAGCACAGGCCAACUACGUUCCAGCAGCAGCGGUAACGAGGAUGGUGCGAGCGUUGUCCGGAAUUACUGGGCAUAAAGCGCUCUUAGGUGGUUUGUCGCGUCGUCUGGUAAAUCCCUGGGCUUAACCUCGGGCGUGCAGGCGAUACGGGCAUAACUUGAGUGCUGUAGGGGAGACUGGAAUUCCUGGUGGAGCGGUGAAAUGCGCAGAUAUCAGGAGGAACACCAAUGGCGAAGGCAGGUCUCUGGGCAGUAACUGACGCUGAGGAGCGAAAGCAUGGGUAGCGA